UUCCCAGCAAAGAUGGUGCAGAGUCGACACGUGUAUGACACGUAUCAUAAAAACCCGAUGACCGAAGGAAAAAUAUCCGAAUUUGCAGAGAAACCGUCGAAAAAAUCCCCAAACCCAAAAAUCCAGAUGAAAUCGGAAUCUUACCUCUCUCUAUUAAUUGCUCCCUUCUUCUUCCUCCUCCUCGCUUUCCCUUCCACCACCGCAGAAAAAUCAACCCGAAUUGGCUGCGGCCGCAGUUCCCAACACCGCAAAAUGGGCAUACUCGGCGGAAUCGAAGAAUUCCGCGGCGCCCAGAACAGCGCCGAAGUUGAAGACCUCGCUCGCUUCGCCGUCCAAGAACACAAUAACAAGGAGAAUGCCCUGCUCGAAUUUGUGAGGGUUGUGAAGGCGAAAGAGCAGGUGGUUGCCGGAACUCUGCACCAUCUCACGAUCGAGGCGAUCGAGGCCGGCAAGAAGACGCUGUACGAAGCGAAGGUGUGGGUGAAGCCUUGGAUGGGCUUCAAAGAAGUGCAGGAGUUUAAGCAGGCUGAGGCCGAGGAGACGCCGUUGAUUACCCCUGCCGAUCUUGGCGCCAAGCAAGGUGGGCAUCCUCCUGGGUGGCAAUCUGUGCCGCCGCAUGACCCGCAGGUGCAGGAUGCGGCUAACCACGCUGUUAAGUCCCUCCAGCAGAAGUCUAAUUCCUUGUUGCCUUAUGAGCUUCAAGAAGUUGUUCACGCCAAGGCUGAGGUUUGUGCCCUUUCAUUUUCCUUCUUUUGGUUUUCCACUUUGUAGUAUUGGGGUUGGUAUUUGUUUGUGUUGAAUUGGGUAUUCAAAUUUAUCUGAAUAAAUUUUUGAGAAUUGGGUAUUUGGGGGUUGGUUUGUGCUGAAUCAGAGUAUGAAAAUCGAUUUUAUUGCAUUUCGGAGAAUUGAGGAUUUCGGGGGUGGUAUUUGGUUUUGUUGGAAUGGGUGUUCAAGUUCAUUGAAAUGCAGAGAGGUUUUUCAGUGUGCUCGGAACAUGGGGCGGCAUGCCAAAUGUUAUUAUACGAGUGGAUGGAUAUUUUUUUUCAAGUGUCCCUCCACUUAGCGUAUGUGCUCAGGCUUCGGGCACGCUUUGAAAAAUCUCUUUCAAAUGCGAGUAGUUGUGUAAUGGGACUGUGGAGAAUUGAGUAGGAAAAAUCUUUUCAACUUCAAAUUGUUUUGUAUAAUGCGGUAUGCAAGUCGAUUUGUUUGUUCUUCUCUGUUUUGAGGUCUGUUUGACAUCAUCGUUGGGAUCGACGGGAUCAAUGUAUUGAUCUGUGUAUAUGAUUAAACUGUGGGGAGCAGGUGAUAGAAGAGCUUGCAAAGUUUAACAUGCUUCUGAAGGUGAAAAGGGGAAGCAAAGAA